GGAUGCUGGGCCCGGACCCCGCCUGCUCAGUCCCAGGAGACGAACCCCCCGCAGCAGCCGCUCACGCUCUGCUCUGUGCCCUUGCAGGUGUGCAGUACGGCCAGGUGGGGGCGGACGUCGUCCUGUCGUGUGCCAGCGCCCCCGGACGCUCGGGGGUGGAGUGGCGGCGGGACGGGGCGGCCGCGCUCCCAGAGGGCUGCGUCCUGCGGGAUGGCGACCUGCUGCUGCCACAGGCCGAGCUCGCUGCGGGAGGAGCCUACAGCUGCCACGACGGGACCGGGCAGCUCCUCCGCUCCGUCUCCCUCCGGCUGGGCUACCUGCCCGGGAUCCCCUCCGUCACCUGCCGAGCUUCUGACUACGAGAAUUUCUCCUGUUCCUGGACACCCAGUGUGGAGACGUUCCUCCCCACCAGAUACAUCACCACCUACCGGUAGGGCUGAGCCAUGUGUGCGGGGUAGGUGGGGGUGGUG